rnacentral:lncRNA from 1 species
UUGGUGUGGCUAGGUGGUAACGCAUGAGGUUUAGUACUCACAGAACGUGGGUUCAAUGCCAAUCAUAAGCAGGUUUUUUCUUUUAACGUUCUCCCUAACCCUAGCCGCCUCCUUGUGAGGAAAUCAAAUGCAUCGAGACGGCCUUCGAAUCAAGACCAGCGAUUUCGAUUAAGGAGAUCGGGAAAUCGGAUCUCGUAAUAGUGAAGGGUCAGCAACGGGAGAGUAAGGAUGUAGAUUUGCAACUGAUUCGGAAAUUGGCGUCAUUGGACUCUUGGGAAAGGAAAGGGAAGAAGAGGGCGACGGGGAGAGAAAAGGGAAGAAGACGGCGACAGGAUUGAGGUUACGGAUUCGAGUUGAGAUUCGAAAUAGCCUCCGACGUACUUUGAAAAGUCCAGUUUUGAUGUUGAUGACGUAAAAAAAAUUAAAAAUGGAAAAACAAAAAAAAUUGAAAAAUCUCUCGUGAAAGGUGGCUCGGAACCGGGUUCACUGAAAAAGCAGCACAAACAAUACCACUAGGCCAUUCAAAUAUUCUCAAAAGAUUUAUAAACAGGUUCUAUAUAUCUAUUUGAAAACGUAGGACGGAAAGUUAACCCGUGAUCGUUCUGUUAACGAAAAUUUGACGGCAUGCUCGAAAUGGCCAAGUCAACGAAACUUGAC